rnacentral:rRNA from 1 species
UAGGGAAUCUUCGGCAAUGGGGACAACCCUGACCGAGCAACGCCGCGUGAGUGAAGAAGGUUUUCGGAUCGUAAAGCUCUGUUGUAAGAGAAGAACGUGUGUGAGAGUGGAAAGUUCACACAGUGACGGUAACUUACCAGAAAGGGACGGCUAACUACGUGCCAA